UAUCAAUUGUGUAAAAACACUGGCUGCUGCUUGACAGGAAUUUCAGAAAUCUCCUGCAGACAUUGUUUCUCAGCGUCUAAGAGCUGGACUGUAGCGUCAUUCCAGACACGCUCAGUGCAACAUUGGUACCCCAGACCCUGGAUAAAGUUGAAGGCGACUCUCUGGAACUGGUCUGUGAAGUGUCUAAACAAACAUCACAGCACACACAUGUAGCUGUCACAUGGUUCAUACGGAAGGGAAAUCAGAGUCUCAAAAUCAUCUAUCUCACACGAGAUUUUGUUCUGGGUUCUGAAGCAAGAUAUAAACAAAGGCAGGAAUCAGGAGAUGUACGGCUGGACAAGAUUGGGGUGACUUCAUUCAAACUCACCAUCUCCAAACUACAGGUGUUUGAUCAGGGAGAGUUCUACUGUGAGGGUACAGAAUGGAUCCAAGACCCAGAUAUGUCCUGGUAUAACAUUACCCAUAAAACCACUGAACAUACUACAGUUCAUAUACAAGCAGCAGGAAUACAGGGCCGUAAAACAAGAGCAGAUUCAAAGGGAUCACAGAUGCACAUGCAAGCCUGGAAUAUGUUCUCCUUUCUCAUUAUAAUCCUUCUGCUCAACUGAACAAAAAAUGUGCUGUUGCUACACUGAGCCAAGAAUGCACUUAACAGUUUCCUUCAUAUUUACCAAUUUUAUUGAGCAUUGAAGAACUACAUCGGUCAAAGAAAUUCAAGCCACCACAUUCUGUCUGGCAAAAUUGUUUGUGGUUGGGGAGGGAUGUAUACAGUAAGCAUAUUCAUUUUAAGCCAGAAAUGUGGCAACCUUCUAGAG